AAUACAUGCAAGUCGAGCGAAUGGAUUAAGAGCUUGCUCUUAUGAAGUUAGCGGCGGACGGGUGAGUAACACGUGGGUAACCUGCCCAUAAGACUGGGAUAACUCCGGGAAACCGGGGCUAAUACCGGAUAACAUUUUGAACCGCAUGGUUCGAAAUUGAAAGGCGGCUUCGGCUGUCACUUAUGGAUGGACCCGCGUCGCAUUAGCUAGUUGGUGAGGUAACGGCUCACCAAGGCAACGAUGCGUAGCCGACCUGAGAGGGUGAUCGGCCACACUGGGACUGAGACACGGCCCAGACUCCUACGGGAGGCAGCAGUAGGGAAUCUUCCGCAAUGGACGAAAGUCUGACGGAGCAACGCCGCGUGAGUGAUGAAGGCUUUCGGGUCGUAAAACUCUGUUGUUAGGGAAGAACAAGUGCUAGUUGAAUAAGCUGGCACCUUGACGGUACCUAACCAGAAAGCCACGGCUAACUACGUGCCAGCAGCCGCGGUAAUACGUAGGUGGCAAGCGUUAUCCGGAAUUAUUGGGCGUAAAGCGCGCGCAGGUGGUUUCUUAAGUCUGAUGUGAAAGCCCACGGCUCAACCGUGGAGGGUCAUUGGAAACUGGGAGACUUGAGUGCAGAAGAGGAAAGUGGAAUUCCAUGUGUAGCGGUGAAAUGCGUAGAGAUAUGGAGGAACACCAGUGGCGAAGGCGACUUUCUGGUCUGUAACUGACACUGAGGCGCGAAAGCGUGGGGAGCAAACAGGAUUAGAUAC
rnacentral:rRNA from 1 species